GCGCCUAGUUUCCUCCCCCAAUGAGAACUUCACGAAAGAUCAAACGACCUCUUAGUCUGAGCUCGAAAGCACGCUCGGGCCGAGGAAGGCAAAAUACAUCAUCAAAAAGAGAAAGAGAGGAAGAAUGGCGACAAAAAAGGAGCUCACAACCAUGAUUGCGGAGCUCUGGAAGGAGGAGAUGAGCAUCCCCAAACAAAGGAGGGGGAAGAAUCCUCCAUGUAGUUCUGACAAUGAGGCUUCUUUCAACUUCACAUGCCCAAACCCCCA
rnacentral:lncRNA from 1 species